CUUUCCCAACUCUGGCUCUGACUCCUGCACAGAGCGCAGCGCUGCCUCCCAGAGAUGCAUGUGUGCAGUCGUGGUACAGACAGACAGCCUCAUCAUGGACAUAGGAUUGAUUUUUUGAAAAAAAAAAAGAGGCAGGUUCAGUCCAAAGAGGGAGAGGAGAGAGUGCGCAAAGUCAGGAAGAACCAGGUAAGAACACAGAGAAUAGUGGCACGUAGAACAUUAAGAUGACAAAGAAAAACAUCCAUUCACAAUAUAAUUUUACAUAGGUCAUGCAUAAUUUGUAUAAUAUGUAUAAUUUUACAUAUACUUGCAUUAAAACUUAUGGGCAAUUUAGACUAAUUAAUCUCAGCAUAUUUUUGGACUGUGACUGUGCCAGAGUACCCAGAGAAAACCCGCUCAUGUACAGGGAGAACAUGCAAACUUCAUGCAGAAAGAUCUUGGGAAGGUCAGGACACAAACCGAGGAUCUUCGAGCUGCAAGGCAAAAGUGCUAACCACUACUCCACUGUACAGCCCCUGAAUAAAAACAUAUUUAGGAUUUAUUUUUUCACAAAAAUAUUUCCUUUCAUUCUAAAAUGGCCAAAACUC